rnacentral:lncRNA from 1 species
UAUAAUAUCAACGAUCCAAACCAUUCAUCUACCUGCACCCUCUAAUAGAUCAUGUUUUCAAAAAAGAAAAUAUAAAAAAACGAAAGUUGAUGAGAAUAAUGAAGCAUAAAUGUAAACAACAAUCAACGGUUAAAUUUUGAUCUAUGAUUUAUAUGAUUAUAGCGGCGAAUUUCGAAGUUAAGCACUUCAUGAAAGUUAUAAAGCUUGUCAUUACGAGUGUUUAUAUAUUUUUUUCUAUAUUUUUUUACACUUCUACAUUAAUUAAAAAACUAUUAAAGACUUUAGGUAAGCGAAAAUAUACUUAAAAACAAAAUUGUGUUUUUACGUUUUGGAUGUGAUAAUAUGGAAUGUAUAUACUUAUUUAGUAUUAUGUUUUUCAUUUGAUUAUUUAUUGGUUUAAAAUAUAUUUUCCUUAACGGGUAACGGGUUGGGUCAUAUUACCUGUUAAUAUUAUCGGGUCGAUUUCGGGUCGGGUCAUUUUACCCGUUUAUUUUAAGGGGUGUUACACGACAUGACCCGUUAAGAUAUCGGGUAUGACACGAAAAUGACACGAACACGGAAAACACGACACCAAUGCCAAGUCUACAAUGUAGUACUCGUAUAUAUUGAAUAAAGGUUAAAAGAAAUGCUUAGUAAUAGUCUAAUUUGUUGGAGUAACAUUAGAAAAUAUGAGAAUAAUAAAAGAAUUUCAAUGAUAAUAAUCAUAAAGAAAAUCACAAUAUCAAUUGUGUAAACAACGUAGAGAAAAAGUAAGAAAGAUUGACAAACUUAGAGAAUGAGGCUUGCAUAAAUGCAAUGUCUUAAAGACAAAAUUUCUCUUCUACUCGUGUACUUUUAAUUUGGUAGGCGUUCGUCUCCCAGGAUUUAACAAUAUAUAAUCCGAAGUCAAAGCACUGCAAUCUUCGGACUCUGGCUCACCUAAUAUAUUCCGUACUUUGAUAACACGACUCAGAAUUGAACAACAAAGGAUGAGAGAAAUAGAGUAGGGAAACCCUAUUUCUCAGGAGUAAUAAUUAAGUCAAAUUUUCAACUUUCAACUUUCAACCAUAAUAGUUUCAUGGGUUUAUAUAAUACCUAGGACACUGAUUGACGACAAUACGCAAUGUAGUGCCUCUUUUUAUAAGAUGACACCAUUUGAAUAAUAUAUACCGUUUGAUACUAACGUUUAAGAACUUUUCAUUCAAACAUUGAGUUAAAUAUUAUGAUUACUAAUAUUUGUUGAGGCCUAGAAAUGUCACACACCAACCCAAUCAAAUCUCAAAGUCCAAUUGUCAUGCAAGCCUUCAUUCAAGCCCAAACACAUGCCAAGGUGUAGAUCAAUAAGGAAAUAUAUUUACAAACAUGCCACACUAUGGUAAUUAAGCCGGAUAUCAACACUAAGGUUCUAAAAAACGCUAGGCGCUAGUCGGGCAGCAGGCUGGUGCCUAGCGCCUAGGCAGAUUUAGGUAAAUUUAUUGUAUAUCUUGUAAAUAAGUGUAUAUUGACACUUACAAAAAAUUAUACUUAUAUGAAAUCGAUAGAUAAGAUAAUAAAAUAAUGAUAAAAUGCAAAAAGAGUAUCAAAUAAGUCCAAAAUUUAAAAACACAUUAAGCAUAUAUGUCAUAUAACCAUAGUAAGGAGUAUUGUAGGAUAAACAGAUCUCGCAAGGUCGUUCUCCACAAUAAUUAUUAAAUAAUGCAAAGCAAACCAAAUUGUAAUUAAUUAUUGUAAACAAAAAUGUAUGAUAAUUGAUUUUAUGUCCUACUUUAAUAAAAACGAACGCCUAAGAGAAAGAAACAAAUAAUAAAACAAAAAGAAAAGAAGAAAAAGGAAAGGGCUCACCUAAUUCGAAAUCAAGACCUGGAGCCAUGGGAAAGGCACAUUAAAAAGAACAAAAAAUAUGAUGGGCGCAUGGUUCGAACUGGAGACCUGGGAGCUUGUAAGGACGCCCUGACCAACACAUCCAAGUCCAUAGCAAUGUCAAUCUUUCGCAACAGCUACAAUAUAUGCUAAUUUAGCAGCAUCAUGUUCAUUUCCAAAAACUCUGUCUUGCCUCGAGCCCAGAGCCCUA